UACGGAGGGUGCGAGCGUUGUCCGGAAUUACUGGGCGUAAAGGGCGCGUAGGCGGACAGUUUAGUCAGAGGUGAAAGCCCAGGGCUCAACCUUGGAAUUGCCUUUGAUACUGGCUGUCUUGAGUUCGGGAGAGGUGAGUGGAAUGCCGAGUGUAGAGGUGAAAUUCGUAGAUAUCGGAAGGAACAUCAGUGGCGAAAGCGACUUCCUGGACCAAUACUGACGCUCAUGUGCGAAAGCGUGGGGAGCAAACAGG
rnacentral:rRNA from 1 species